UGCGCCGAUGGCUCAGGUGGGUAGAGGUUUGGCUAUGACGCAGAAGGUCACGGGUUCGACCCCCGGUGGGGUAA